rnacentral:rRNA from 1 species
UACGUAGGUGGCAAGCGUUGUCCGGAUUUACUGGGCGUAAAGAGCGCGCAGGCGGUCGUUCAAGUCGCGUGUGAAAGCCCCCGGCUCAACUGGGGAGGGUCACGCGAUACUGAUCGACUCGAAGGCAGGAGAGGGGAAGUGGAAUUCCCGGUGUAGUGGUGAAAUGCGUGAGAUAUCGUAAGGAAGACCAGUGGCGAAGGCGGGUCUCCUGGACGAGUUCCUGACGGCUGAGCACGAAGGUCAGGGGAGCAAACGGG